UAGUUGUGUAAAUUACUCUUUCACAGUUCUCGUGUAGCAGCAAAUAAUCUUUGAAAUUGUAGACAUUAUCUUCCAAGUGAAGCAAAACUGAUACUGCAGUCUCUAGUAAGUGCCAAACAGUAAACAUGCAUAUUUUAAACCACUAACAUUGGAACUUCUCUCGCGCUAUAUUCUUAAGGAGUGGCAGAAAAAAAAUAUGAAGUUUGCUUUGAACUGGUGGCCAAAAAGAUAAAAGGUUAGUUGGAGCCUGAUUUGCAUUUUAAGCCAUUUAACAUUGAACUUCGUGGCACGAACAGAUUCUACAGUGUUUGGUUGUUGCAGUGCCUUCUCCAAGCAAACACUAGCUAUCAUCAACAGCCAGUGAGUACCUUGGCGAAUAAAGUGGCCUCAUGAAAGAAUAAGAGAGAAAAAUUUUAAAAGGUACAAGAGAAUUGAAUUGGACGGAAAAUAAAACUAGGCGAUCGGAGGAUUACGAAAGAAAUGUGACUGUGACUAGGAUAAAUAAGAAGUAAAUCAGUUGGCUGGCUUGUGCUCAAUUAAUAAUGUUACUUUGAAAAGAAAAGAAGUGGGGCAUCCUACUUCUGUAGCAUACUGCUGCACAGAUGAUAAUUUCCACUAGUUAAAGGAAUGCCAUCCUAUUCUUGCCUACUUAUAGAACAGAAAAGAAAUACUAAAUUAAUAUGUGGCUAAGACUUCUCCUUUAUUACUAUUUAAGUGAAGUUCUCUGUCAUUGCAUCUCUAUACGUACCCCAUGGCAACCUGCACGUCUUAUGCGGCAAUGAUACUCGUUCAAUUGGCUUAUGGAGGAUCAAAUAUCCUCAUGAAAAUAGCCCUUGAGAAAGGACUCAACCAACUUGUCUUUGUGGUUUACCGGCAUUUGAUUGCCAUGAUUUUGGUAGGGCCGUUUGCUUAUGUUCUUGAAAGGAAGCAGAGGCCUCCACUUUCGCUUCCAGUGAUAACGAAGAUUUUUGUGCUUGCUUCCCUAGGAACUACCAUCCAUCUUAAUGUUUAUUAUGCUGGACUAGCGUAUACUUCUGCAACAGUUGCAAGUGCAUUGAGUAAUGUCAUCCCAAGUUUGACGUUCGUCAUGGCAGUUCUAUUGGGGAUGGAGAAGCUGAAGAUUUCAAGUGCUAGAGGAUGGGCUAAGGUAUUUGGCACCGUCAUUUGCAUAGGUGGGUCUCUCGUCUUCACCUUUUGGAAAGGAGGAUAUCUUUAUAAAAGCCUUGAGGAGAGGCCGCUCAUAAGCAUUUAUAGCAGCAGAGGACAUAAUGAGUUGAGGCAUGCUAAGGAGAACUGGAUCAAAGGUUCUGCUCUUAUUCUGACCAGCCACAUCGCAUGGAGCGCUUGGCUAAUUCUGCAGGCUGUGGUUUACAAAGUGUACCCGGCUCGCUUAUCACUGACCACUUUGAUAUGCUUUUUCGCAUCAAUUCAAUCUUCUGUGCUUGCCUUGUUUUUCGGAAGAAAUCCUACACUCUGGAAGCUGGAUUGGAAUGUGCAGCUGCUGACCAUCAUUUACUGUGGAGUUGUGAUUUCAGCGUUAGUAUAUUACCUACAGACAUGGUGUAUUAGCAAGAAGGGGCCUGUUUUUGCAGCCAUGUUUAGUCCACUGCUUCUGAUUAUUGUGGGAAUAUUCUCAGCCAUCGCUUUCGCGGAGAGACUCCACGUCGGCAGUUUGACAGGAGCAGUUCUCAUAAUAUUGGGCCUAUACUGCGUGCUGUGGGGCAAAAGGCAAGAGGACAGUACUGCCGAAUCGCCAGAGGAAGGAAAAGGCAGUGUUGGUGAUGGAAACCCCGUAGAGAUUCCCAUAAAUCAUAAUGCAUUAACAAGUGCUAAACAAGCUCACAAAGGAAAUGAAACUGAAAAUCCAUAAGGAGUGGCUGAUGAAGAGCAAUCCAUCCAAAAAGGCUGAAGACACAACUUUUAAUUCAGGCAAGGCCUUUUAAGGGUUUAGGGAAAAGGGGGAAGCGGGCGUAUAUUAUGAAGAUGCAAGAACGGGAGAUUAGGGUUUUUUGAGCAUAUUCAGAGCACAGCACGACGCAGCGUGUUUGAGAAGGAAGAAGGAAAAUGAAGACAAUAUUGUCAUCGGAGACGAUGGACAUACCCGAUGGGGUUAAAAU